rnacentral:rRNA from 1 species
UAUCUCUGUAGAGUCUGCAUAUCAAUAAGCGGAGGAAAAGAAACUAACAAGGAUUCCCUUAGUAACGGCGAGUGAAGCGGGAAGAGCUCAAAUUUGAAAUCUUCAAGGUUUUACCUUGACGAGUUGUAGUUUAAAGAAGUGUUUUCUGUUAGGAUGUUUGGUAGCAAAGUUCUUUGGAAUAGGGACAUCAUAGAGGGUGAGAAUCCCGUAUUUGACCAUUAUCAUUCCUAGCUUUGUGAUACACUUUCAAAGAGUCGGAUUGUUUGGGAAUGCAGUCCAAAAUGGGUGGUAAAUUUCAUCUAAAGCUAAAUAUUGGCGAGAGACCGAUAGCGAACAAGUACCGUGAGGGAAAGAUGAAAAGAACUUUGAAAAGAGAGUUAAACAGUACGUGAAAUUGUCAAAAGGGAAGCGUUUGACACCAGUGUUGUUUUCUCGAAAAUCAAUUAAAAAAUGGUUGGAUUUUGUAUUGUUAAUGACCUUAUCAAGCUUACUGUACUCUUUUUCAUUGUCUUUUUUUAAUGCACUUUUCGUUUAACAAGUCAACAUCAGUUUCUUUUGUUGUAAAAGAGUCAUUGGAAGGUGGCUUUCACUUCGGAUGAAAGUGUUUAUAGCCUUUGGACUUCUGCAAUCGGAGAGAUUGAGGUCUGCAGCGUAGAUCCUUCGGGGCUAGAUACGUAGAUGCUAGAGUUAUAGUUUUUUAUAGACAACUUGUUGACUAUAAUUAAUCAUGUAGCUUACUCGUUUGCGCUAUUUUACCUACGCUUAGGAUGUUGAAGAUGUAGCACAUCAU